rnacentral:rRNA from 1 species
CAGUAGCCGCGGGAAUACGUAGGGUGCGAGCGUUAAUCGGAUUUACUGGGCGUAAAGCGUGCGUAGGCGGCUUUUUAAGUCGGAUGUGAAAUCCCUGAGCUUAACUUAGGAAUUGCAUUCGAUACUGGGAAGCUAGAGUAUGGGAGAGGAUGGUAGAAUUCCAGGUGUAGCGGUGAAAUGCGUAGAGAUCUGGAGGAAUACCGAUGGCGAAGGCAGCCAUCUGGCCUAAUACUGACGCUGAGGUACGAAAGCAUGGGGAGCAAACAGGAUUAGAUACCCCGGUAGUCCCUGUCUCUUAUAC